rnacentral:lncRNA from 13 species
AUUUCUCCAGUCAGGAUGCCAGCUGCAAGGAGCCGCGUCGGGAAUGACAAUGGCCUAUGCAAAUACAAUGCAUCAGCUAUAAAGCCGCUCCAGAGCACCCGCCCUGCUCGAGAAGAGCUGCUGGCAGCACAGCAGGAGGCAGGCAAGGCCUGGCCCGGGCACGGGGAGUGACCACGGCUCUGUUGCUGCAAUGGGAGGCAUAUAUUGACUGCAGGAGGUGGCGUGAACUCAGUGUUGGCAUUGAGCUACAGCACUGAUGGCCAUCCUACAAAAAGAAACAGAGACAGAGAAUGAGAAAUUUCCAGUCGGAAAUUGUUGUCAUAUAGAUGUGAAAGAUGGGAAUCACUUCCACUGGAAUCUCAAGGACAGAUUCCACAUAAACCUAUCAGGAAGGUUCAGGGCCCUUGCUGCUGCCUUUCAGGUAGAAGAGAAUCCAUAACAAGAUAAAAAAAGAGAAGACAAGUUUUCUUUCCCAGUCCAGGAAAAAUAACGUGUUGGAUUAUAAUCUGCAAACUGUGGAAAGUACCAACAUGAGCAACAAGGGACCAGAGAAUCCCAUCUCAGCUACACUGACUGAGGGCCUGAAGAGAAAGAGGGGGAGACCAAAGAAGCAGCCACAGGAGGAUGCUGGAAACACAGCUGUUAUCCCACAGGAUGCUGUGGAACCACAGCCAGCAAAGAAACCCCGAGGAAGGCCAAAAGGAAGCAAGAGAGUGACUGCUCUAACUGGGGGAAAGGCAGAACCUUCUGCUGGGAAAAGAGGAAGAGGGAGGCCCCGCAAGUGGCCUCAAGCAGUGGUCCAAGAAGGAGAGUCUCAGGGAGGAAAUCCUCAGGAAAGCAGUGACUUGAAUUUGAACUCGGCACCAGCCACACAGGGUAUGAAAUUAGAUAAUCAUAAUUACACAAGACUAAACAGUGCAGCCACGCUCUGGCAAAGCAUGCACAUACCCACAAAGCUCUAG